GGUGCUCGAGACCUGCUGGAUCUCGACUUCGAGUCGCUUCGAAAUCGACCGUCCUUCUUUUGUCUUCCCCGGUUAGAGAUGUUUAGUGCACUUCCAGAUGACUCCGUAGCUCCAGAAGAUUUCCUUCUUGCUUCUUCACUCAGAAGCACUCCCACAACGUCAUCAAAGAUCAACUUCCCCGUCGCCGAAGAGUUGCUCACCGCCAUCACCAGGCCCUCCCAGCUAUCAGGCAAUCCGGAGAG
rnacentral:lncRNA from 1 species